UCGUACUGCCCUCCUUGGGCGUUUCCUCCCUAGACUUGGGCCGCUCCACAAGAGCGGCCCCUUUUUUUGCCCUCA
rnacentral:sRNA from 1 species